rnacentral:rRNA from 1 species
UACGUAGGUCGCAAGCGUUGUCCGGAUUUACUGGGCGUAAAGAGCGCGCAGGCGGCUGGUCAAGUCCGAUGUGAAAUCUCCCGGCUCAACUGGGAAACUGCAUCGGAAACUGAUCGGCUUGAAGAUGGGAGAGGGUAGUGGAAUUCACGGUGUAGCAGUGAAAUGCGUAGAUAUCGUGAGGAAGACCAGUGGCGAAGGCGGGUCUCUGGACAGUUCCUGACACUGAGGCACGAAGGCCAGGGGAGCAAACGGG